ensembl:lncRNA
GGAUUUGGUUAAUUAGCUAGCAAUUUACUUUACCUUGAUUUUCUUUUUAGAAUUGCCCUUUCUGAAACCCAAGUUUAUGUAGUUACAUUGAGCUGUUGAGUGUACAUGAAAGGGGAAAAAUGUAUAUGUUAAUUGAUGCUGGAAUAAAGUGAGUUUGCUAGCAAGCGACGUUGGCUAACUAUCGAACAAUCAAUACCGGAAGACUUCAUUUAGCAUCGCACGCAGUAUUUUGUCAAAUGUAGCCUAUAAUCCAUGUCGGUUUAAUUAUUAGUGAAGGAGAACGUGCCUCGUCAAAAUGUGUAGCAGCAAGGUGAUAUCGAUAGUGCAACUUUCUCUGUCUAACGGCUGGAAUUUUGUAGAAUGAUGCUGUGAACCAAAAAUGAAUGAAUCUCUCGUUUUUAUUGUUGAAAUUGGAAUUUUAUCAUAUUCUAAGUAAAUAAAUGUUCAACGGCCGACGCCAAUCAGUCAUUUUUUUUGGAGGGAGAUGACAUUACAGUGACAACUUCCACAGCAUAUACUACUUAAAUGUGUUGCUAUCGAUAGCCUUGCUCACUGUUUGAUGAGCAUUUUCCUUUUGCAAAAGUUUCAAACGUUAUUAGUAGUGCUUGACUUGGACCGAAAUUGGUUCCGGAACUGUUUAUAUUUAGGCCUACAGUAAACUCUUGAGGGUGACCUGUGACAGUGGACCAUGCCCCAGACAACGAGUAACCCCCCAGGCUUGUGCAUUGGUGCCAAAACCAUUCCAGAGAGAAAGCAGAUAUAUUCAUGCAAUGGUAUACUGGACCCUUCUCCAGGGCGUAGGUACAAGCAGGCCUAUCCUUUCAGGUAUAGGUGGAAAUGGAGGAAGAAGUCCAAAAAAAAACCGCCACCAGCCCCACCUCUGCCAUCAUAUGAGGAAGAAAACUGGGAGGAGGAGAUAGGAAGCUUUGAGACAUAUGGAUUUGCUCCAUAUGGCCCAGAGGAUGUGGAUAGAGUGGCCCUACAGGGGUUGACCCUGAACCAGACUCCCUGCCCUCCCCACCCCCAGACAGCAACCGACUACAGCCCUGCGACCCACCACCAAGCCCCCGUCAAAUGGGUUCGCCACAUCAUCCGCAGCGUGGAGGAGCAGUUUGUCGACGCAGAGGAUUGAGGUCCGGUGUGUCCUGAUACACUUUUUAUUAGUUAACUCUUUAAUCGUAAGCUCUUAGGAAUGAUAUUUUAGUUGGUUUCUCAGGUGUCAGGGUUAGGGUUAGUAUUACUUGUUCCUUGGUUUGUUAAUGAAUUAGGAUGUCAUAUUUGUAGCCUCGUUGACAGUUGGGUUACAUGUUAACAAUUCAUUAUUUUUUUUGUGAAUCAUUUCAAUAGAUGUGUAGUCUAACUCUUAACUAAAAGAGAAAUUGUAGUUUUUAUCUUAUUUUUUAAAUACUUUUGUUUUAAAAGCAAUCACCUGAUAUAGGCCCAUGUGUUCAAGUGUCACUCCCUUUAAAAUCAUAUGUGUUAAAAUGGAGAGGGCACAGUGCAAGAAUAAGUAUGUUUGGAUAUAUUCUCAAAUGGAUUUUCCUGAUUGAUUCUGAGCCCAUGGAGAGCAAGAGGUCAGGUUGCCAUGACUACAGCACCCUGUAAGACACCACCCACUGGGCACAGAUGUCAAUUCAACGUCUAUUCCAAGUUGGUUCAAUGUAAUUUCAUUGAAAUGGUGUGGAAACAAUGUUGAUUCAACCAGUGUGCGCUCAGUGGAAAUGAAAUUCAGCUUUUGAGAUCCAAGAUAUCUUUAAUGCAAAUAAACCAUGCAUUUUAACAACAAAACUCUACACUGAUGCAUCAUUCCCACAGUGUUUUGGUUGUAGUGGUAGUAGUUCAGAAGAGAAAAUUGUAGCAUUAGAUGCCC